AUGUUAAUGGUGGAUUUGAAAACAUGUGUGGGUCGAACAUAAGAGUCGGAUUGAUUGAAAACAAGGCAUGGCUAACGUUUUUGAGUAGAAUUCGAUCAUAUCGCAGUUUAGAACUACUAACUUGGACAUUGAUUUCAUCUAAUUUAUCUGGUGCUUUGGCUUUGAGUCCCCGCUUUCAAACCUCACUUCCAGCUUAUUCUUAAUUGUUUGCUUGAGGGCAAGUAAAGACUAAGUUUAGGGGAGUUGAAAGUAUGCCUUUUACAUGUUUUGAGCAUCCAUUUGUCAUCACUUUACCAUCAUAUCACCACAGUUUUAUACCAUUUCUCAUACUUUGUCAUCACUUUGCAUGUUUAGGAUAGUUUUACAUGCAUGUUGCAUAUUUGUGUUGUUUUCAGUUGAUUUGGAGCUGUUGACGAGCUAAUUGGAAGAAGCGGACCUGAUCGUAUCAAACCACUCGACCCCCUGUCGAGUACAUGCUUCACGACUUCAACAAACCACUCGACCCCCUCGUCGAGUAGAAGGCCUCGUCACUUUGCACCACCACUCGACCACAUGGCCGAGUAUCAUCAACUCCACCACCUGACCAUCACUCGAUCACACCACUCGACCCCUUGGUCGAGUACCUCUAUCACAUUCACUCGAUCACUCACUCGAUUGCACGGCCGAGUCUCACCAUCAUCACACACUCGACCGACCACUCUACCACCUAGCCGAGUAUCACCAUCUCCAUCACUCGAAUUUAUACUCGACUGCCAGCUUUAGAGUCUUCUCCAUUCCGCACUCAACCAAACACUCGAGCACAAGGAAGAAAAGAAGACUCCAGCUCAUCACUCGACCAUUCACUCGACCACCUAGGUGAAGUGCCGUUCUUAAUCCAUCCCAAUAUUGUGUCGUUUUGAGUAUUAGGGUUUCGGAAUAUUUUGCUAUAAGUAGCAUGUAUUUUACAUUUUCGUAACCGAAGUUUUAUUCCGUAGACACUAUGUUCUUGACAUUUUGUAAUCCAGAUUUUUCU
rnacentral:sRNA from 1 species